CAUGUUGGAACCACUGUCUGUGUUGCAACUUCGAAUACGUUCUGGUAUGUCAUGGCUAUGUUCUAUUUCUCGCGUAAUACUUUAAUUAAAAUACUUUAUUCCUGAUAGAUUAAAAUUAUGAAUGUGUAGGCAUGUUCUAUUGCAACACUAACAGAUUAUUUUAAGACCUUUGACAUCGUUGUUAUGUACUUGCCUUGGUGCCACCAUCAUGGCGGCAUGAAGGUGGUUUUCUUACUUCUGUUUUGUUGUCACAAAUAGUUUUGCGGUCUAGUUAAAUUCAUCAAUGCAUUUUUAGAACAAUGUUUGUGGUUUGAAAAGAAACAGGACACUUCUAGUGUUCUAAUGAAAGUUUUCUCUAAAAAUAAUACAGCAUAACAAAUAAUUUAAUAGAUUAUACAACAACAUUGAACUAUUUCUUAUGUCAAAACAUAUUUUCUUUACAGUCAAUAUGAUGCUGUUUACCAUUGAUGAUGUUCGAUUACUAGUGAAGGCAAAUGGAUGAGAAGAAAGAGGCUUGCGGUUAUCUUCAAGCCCAGGCCAGUAAAAUGGCGUAAGAAAUGGAGAACCUGUAGAUGCAGGGUGUUGGCGGACCCAAGACCACUGCUGCUGGACCACCCAGACGAAGAACAGACACUUCCAACAUUCCCUCACCUCAUCCCGUGAUCAAGUCCUUGCCAGUGUGGACUAAGUUUGCCCCCAGUCAAACUGAUUGAAGAAAAUUCGCCGCAGCCGCAAACCUCUUGUGGUUAUUCCAUGAAAAUUGAUUUGGAAUUCGAUCAAGUGCUGCCGAAUUUGGAUCGUGGAUCGCAUCAUUCCUUUGGCUGAAGAAGAUCUCUGUUUUCUCAGAUGACCCGGUCCGUUCACAGCUCACAAAUCUGGUCCAGGAUCAACUCGCUUAUUCAUGCCAUUUGGGGACUCCUUGGCCGAAUUUUCCGAUCUCGUACCAAAUGAAGUUGUUGUUCACCAUUCGACAUCGGAAAUCACCACAGUUCCAGUGAUCGGUAAAAGAUUGAUUUAUCCUAUUUUAUUUGAAAUUGUCAC
rnacentral:lncRNA from 1 species